GCUGACCAUGCGGGAGAGCGCCGACGCCGAAAGGCCGAAGCCGCCGAAGGAGCAACCGCCCCGGAAUCUCUCAGGUCAAAGGACCGCGUGGACAGG
rnacentral:ncRNA from 2 species